UCCAACCACGGUCAGGCAAGAUGAUCGCACGCACGCCCCUUCUCUGGCUGCUGGUUCUCUGGAUUCAGGACUCCUCCGGGCAAAUUGUGAUGACUCAGUCUCCAGAAUCUCUGGCAGUGCCAGUGGGAGGGAGAGUCUCUAUCAACUGCAAAGCCAGUACGAGUGUUGGCAGUAGCGUAAACUGGUACCAAAAGAAACCUGGACAACCUCCCAAACUUCUUAUCUAUAGCGCUAGCACCCUCCAGUCGGGGGUCCCAGCCUGGUUCAGCGGCAGCGGGUCUGGCACUGAUUUCACAUUCACCAUCAGCAACGUUGAAGCUGAAGAUGCUGGAGAUUAUUACUGCCAGCAGGGUAGCAGCUACCCUCUCACAGUGAUACAGACCAAUACAAAAACCUCACUGCAGCACGCAUUGCAGUUACUCUUCUUGCAGAUACAACUCUCUAGUUUUCACAUGUUCUGUCAAACGCAAAAGAAGAGGGUAACAUUUUCCAUCUGUGAACAUACAGUGGAAAAGAGAACACUGAAAGAGCUAAAGUGUUUCAAUAACAACAUAGAUACUAGAAUAUACACAGAGGCCUGA